UAGCCGGGCCUUGGGCUCAGCACCGACCAUGCGAGAAAUGCUUCUCUGGCCGAUAAUCUAUGGCUCGAUAGCUUGUGUUCCAUGGAAGGGGCACACUUCUCUCCCCAGGCUCGGCAAACCUGCGAUCGUGUGGACUACUUGUCUUGCCUACCUGGAGAGAUGUGGCUGAACCUACUAAUGUGAUAAAUGGCAUGUGAUAGCNAAGGNGCCUGGGCAAANACCGUGCCUACCCUGCCGCGGAUAAUACCGGCGGCCCGAGUGGGAUUAUUAUUAUUGUUUUUUAAAGGGUCCGUAGCCGGGNUUAUCAGCAUUUUGGGAAAUUUGACAGCAUCAACUGAUUAGGCUUUUAAGGGAGCGGCAAACAUUGGGACCGGGAGAGGUAAGAGGUACCACAAGGGUAGAGUGAAAAUCAUUGAAUCCUUGAUGGCACCACAUAGGGGCGAAAGCAGCAUUACCAGAAACGGCGUCCUACGAUGAAGGGCACAAAAGCUGGGGGGCAGAAG
rnacentral:rRNA from 1 species